AUUGACACACACUUUUCAAGCCUGUUAUUGGCAACCAAUCUGCCAAGUAUACUCUGUAGCUUCUUUAUAACAGCCACAGGCAAAAGGGAUGGAGCUAUGCAGGCCUGUUCACCUGGUAAGUCCGGAGUAGACAUAGGCAACGGUACACUAUUUUCAGUCAGUAACCGCCUAAACUCAUUUUCCAAUCUAUCCAACGCAGCCUCAAGAAGUCCUCCAUCAAGGCAACUCCAAUCCUCCCCACGAUGCAACUCCUUCAGAGUAGUCAACGCCUCCUUUAAACUAGAAAUGAACUUGUCAUCAGCAACAUUAUGAUCCUCUAGAUACUCCACAAUGUCCGCCAACCACUGAAUCGCCAUGUCACAAUUCUCCCCCAAAAAUUUUAACGCCUCUUUAAGCCUCUUGAGCACA
rnacentral:misc_RNA from 1 species